rnacentral:rRNA from 1 species
UAGCUAGUUGGUGAGGUAACGGCCCACCAAGGCGACGAUCGGUAGCCGGGCUGAGAGGUUGAACGGCCACAUUGGGACUGAGACACGGCCCAGACUCCUACGGGAGGCAGCAGUGGGGAAUAUUGCACAAUGGGGGAAACCCUGAUGCAGCGACGCCGCGUGGAGGAAGAAGGUCUUCGGAUUGUAAACUCCUGUUGUUGAGGAAGAUAAUGACGGUACUCAACAAGGAAGUGACGGCUAACUACGUGCCAGCAGCCGCGGUAAAACGUAGGUCACAAGCGUUGUCCGGAAUUACUGGGUGUAAAGGGAGCGCAGGCGGGAAGACAAGUUGGAAGUGAAAUCCAUGGGCUCAACCCAUGAACUGCUUUCAAAACUGUUUUUCUUGAGUAGUGCAGAGGUAGGCGGAAUUCCCGGUGUAGCGGUGGAAUGCGUAGAUAUCGGGAGGAACACCAGUGGCGAAGGCGGCCUACUGGGCACCAACUGACGCUGAGGCUCGAAAGUGUGGGUAGCAAACAGGAUUAGAUACCCUGGUAGUCCACACUGUAAACGAUGAUUACUAGGUGUUGGAGGAUUGACCCCUUCAGUGCCGCAGUUAACACAAUAAGUAAUCCACCUGGGGAGUACGACCGCAAGGUUGAAACUCAAAGGAAUUGACGGGGGCCCGCACAAGCGGUGGAGUAUGUGGUUUAAUUCGACGCAACGCGAAGAACCUUACCAAGUCUUGACAUCCUGCGACGGACAUAGAAAUAUGUUUUUCCUUCGGGACGCAGAGACAGGUGGUGCAUGGUUGUCGUCAGCUCGCGUCGUGAGAUGUUGGGUUAAGUCCCGCAACGAGCGCAACCCUUAUGGUCAGUUACUACGCAAGAGGACUCUGGCCAGACUGCCGUUGACAAAACGGAGGAAGGUGGGGAUGACGUCAAAUCAUCAUGCCCUUUAUGACUUGGGCUACACACGUACUACAAUGGCGUUAAACAAAGAGAAGCAAGACCGCGAGGUGGAGCAAAACUCAGAAACAACGUCCCAGUUCGGACUGCAGGCUGCAACUCGCCUGCACGAAGUCGGAAUUGCUAGUGAUCGCAGAUCAGCAUGCUGCGGUGAAUACGUUCCCGGGCCUUGUACACACCGCCCGUCACACCAUGAGAGCCGGGGGGACCCGAAGUCGGUAGUCUAACCGCAAGGAGGACGCCGCCGAAGGUAAAACUGGUGAUUGGGGUGAAGUCGAAACAAGGUAGCCGUAGGAGAGCCUGCGGCUG